UACGUAGGGGGCGAGCGUUGUCCGGAUUUAUUGGGCGUAAAGGGCACGCAGGCGGUCUUGCGCGUUUCGAGUGACAGGUGAUGGCUUAACCAUGACAGGCCUCGGAAAACGGCAAGACUUGAGAGCUUCAGAGGGACGCGGAAUUCCAGGUGGAGCGGUGAAAUGCGUAGAGAUCUGGAAGAACACCAAAGGCGAAGGCAGCGUUCUGGGAAGUAUCUGACGCUCAGGUGCGAAAGCUAGGGGAGCGAACGGG
rnacentral:rRNA from 1 species